GAUGAACGCUGGCGGCGUGCUAAACACAUGCAAGUCGAACGAUGAAGCCCAGCUUGCUGGGUGGAUUAGUGGCGAACGGGUGAGUAACACGUGAGCAACCUGCCCCUGACUCUGGGAUAAGCGCUGGAAACGGCGUCUAAUACUGGAUACGAGUAGCGAUCGCAUGGUCAGUUACUGGAAAGAUUUUUUGGUUGGGGAUGGGCUCGCGGCCUAUCAGCUUGUUGGUGAGGUAAUGGCUCACCAAGGCGUCGACGGGUAGCCGGCCUGAGAGGGUGACCGGCCACACUGGGACUGAGACACGGCCCAGACUCCUACGGGAGGCAGCAGUGGGGAAUAUUGCACAAUGGGCGGAAGCCUGAUGCAGCAACGCCGCGUGAGGGAUGACGGCCUUCGGGUUGUAAACCUCUUUUAGCAGGGAAGAAGCGAGAGUGACGGUACCUGCAGAGAAAGCGCCGGCUAACUACGUGCCAGCAGCCGCCGUAAGAC
rnacentral:rRNA from 1 species